UCGACGCUUGCGUCAUCUUGCUGAAAACCACGUGACUGGCAACAAACGACGCCUUGCAUCACCUGGGACACAUGACUGCUUCAUUUUGCGUGUCGGUUUUCAAAAUAAAAGCAUGAUAAGCCGUCCUGCUUCAUGGGUUGUUGUAGGUCAUUUGGUUGCGCAUCAGAGGAGAAUAUUUAUCUUCAGUGGCCACAAUAAAAGGAACAUUGACCAACAUAUUUGAUGUGUAUUGACGACGGCACUCAUCAAAAUGUAAUGCUUGUUACUGGUUUUCUCAAUUGUCGAUUAUGGUGUUUUUUCAUGACUUUAUAGUUUUGUGAUUUGGUGAUGUAAAGCUCUUUGAACUACAGUGUUGCUGAAAUCUGCCACACAAAUAAACUCGAUUGAUUGUCUGAAA